rnacentral:pre_miRNA from 1 species
GGUUAUUCGACUAAUAGUUAUUAUUUCAGAAAGUCACUUUCUUUAGUGAAGAAAAAGUUGGAAAUCAAGAAAAAAGAUGACUUUCUAAAAUAAUAACUAUUAGUUGAAUGACCAU